rnacentral:rRNA from 1 species
CCUACGGGUUGCAGCAGUGGGGAAUUUUGGACAAUGGGCGCAAGCCUGAUCCAGCAAUGCCGCGUGAGUGAAGAAGGCCUUCGGGUUGUAAAGCUCUUUUGUCAGGGAAGAAACGGCCGAGAAUAAUACUCUUGGCUAAUGACGGUACCUGAAGAAUAAGCACCGGCUAACUACGUGCCAGCAGCCGCGGUAAUACGUAGGGUGCAAGCGUUAAUCGGAAUUACUGGGCGUAAAGCGUGCGCAGGCGGUUUUGUAAGUCUGUCGUGAAAGCCCCGGGCUCAACCUGGGAAUUACGAUGGAGACUGCAAGGCUCGACUCUGGCAGAGGGGGGUAGAACUCCACGUGUAGCAGUGAAAUGCGUAGAGAUGUGGAGGAACACCGAUGGCGAAGGCAGCCCCCUGGGUCAAGAUUGACGCUCAUGCACGAAAGCGUGGGGAGCAAACAGGAUUAGAUACCCGCGUAGUC